AUUGAACGCUGGCGGCAGGCCUAACACAUGCAAGUCGAACGAGUGGCGGACGGGUGAGUAAUGUCUGGGAAACUGCCUGAUGGAGGGGGAUCACUACUGGAAACGGUAGCUAAUACCGCCUACCAUCAGCUGUGCCCAGAUGGUAUUAGCUAGUUGUUGGGGUAACGGCACACCAAGGCGCCGAACCCUAACUGGUCUGAGAGGAUGACCAGCCACACUGGAACGGAGACACGGUCCAGACUCCUACGGGAUGCAGCAGUGGGGAAUAUUGCACAAUGGGCGCAAGCCUGAUGCAGCCAUGCCGCGUGUAUGAAGAAGGCCUUCGGAUUGUAAAGUACUUUCAGCGGGGAGGCGUUACCCGCAGAAGAAGCACCGGCUAACUCCGUGCCAGCCGCCGCGGUAAUUC
rnacentral:rRNA from 1 species